ACGAACGCUGGCGGCUAGGCUAAACAUGCAUUCGAGCGCGCCUUCGGGUGAGCGGUGGACGUGUUAGUAACGCGUGGGAACGUGCCCUUCUCUACGGAAUAGCCUCUGUGAAACGGAGAGUAAUACCGUAUAAGCCCUUUGGGGGAAAGAUUUAUCGGAGAAGGAUCGGUCCGAGUUAGAUUCGUGUAGUUGGCGGGGUAACGGCCUACCCAGACUACGAUCUAUAGCUGGUUUAGAGCGAUGUCCGCAACACUUGGGACUGAGACCGGCCAGAAUCCUACGGGACGCAAAAUGGGGAAUCUUAGACAAUGGGGGCAACACAUGAUCUAAACCAUGAGGUAGUAUGAUGCUUAGGUCGAAAACUCUUCGCUGUAUGAUAAUGCAGAACAUGUACAAAAACCGGCUAACUCCUGCCA
rnacentral:rRNA from 1 species